rnacentral:rRNA from 1 species
AUUGAACGCUGGCGGCAGGCCUAACACAUGCAAGUCGGACGGUAGCACAGAGGAGCUUGCUCCUCGGGUGACGAGUGGCGGACGGGUGAGUAAUGUCUGGGGAUCUGCCCGAUAGAGGGGGAUAACCACUGGAAACGGUGGCUAAUACCGCAUAACGUCGCAAGACCAAAGAGGGGGACCUUCGGGCCUCUCACUAUCGGAUGAACCCAGAUGGGAUUAGCUAGUAGGCGGGGUAACGGCCCACCUAGGCGACGAUCCCUAGCUGGUCUGAGAGGAUGAGCAGCAACACUGGAACUGAGACACGGUCCAGACUCCUACGGGAGGCAGCAGUGGGGAAUAUUGCACAAUGGGCGCAAGCCUGAUGCAGCCAUGCCGCGUGUAUGAAGAAGGCCUUCGGGUUGUAAAGUACUUUCAGCGGGGAGGAAGGCGAUGUGGUUAAUAACCGCAUUGAUUGACGUUACCCGCAGAAGAAGCACCGGCUAACUCCGUGCCAGCAGCCGCAGUAA